GUGAUUUUGCUCACAACCAGGUUUUCAGCUGUCACCCCCCUGCUCUUUGUGCCAAGUUCUCUCGCCCAUUCUUUCUCUGGAGAGCUUCCUUCUGACCUCCAGACAUGCUCCCCGACUUGGCUAUACCCUUGGCAGAUCCGUCACACUCAGCACUUCGGGCCUGCAUCUGUCUUCUUCCUCUCCACACCUCGGGACACGCCAGGAUUUCUGUCCUGCGCUUCACAUCUCAGUGGAUUGCAACACUGCAGGCAACUGCCCAGAGAGCAAAGCGUUAUCGCAGGGGCCUUCUGUCCCCAACUUGCCAACACCGCUGACACUUUCUCUGAAAUAUAUUCACCCCUGCCCUCUAAGCAGCCUCUCUCCCCACCCCAGUCGUGCUGCCAAAACCUAGGUUCAGAUGCAGAGAGGCCGUGGCAGAUGCUUCCUCUUCCAAAGGACGCAGCUCCGAUGUGCCUUCUGGGAGGCACCACAGAGAUGCUUGGCACGCGUCUCCCACUGCCCUUCCUUCUCGACUUCACUGCAGGAAUCGCCCUGCAGUGGCACCACUUCUUCUCAAGUCUGACAGUAAGCCCCUGCAGACCAGAUGCCACAUCUUCCUACAGGUAG
rnacentral:lncRNA from 1 species